AGGAAUGCUGGCAGCCACCAGCAGCUAGAACAGGCACAGAAUGGACACCCUACAGCCUCCAGAGAGAGCACAGCCCUGGCAACACCUUGGUUUUGGCCUUCCGGCCGCCUGAACCAUAAGAGAAUAGAUUUCUCUUGUUUUAAGCUGCCCAGUUGGUGGUAAUUUACUACAUCAGCCGGAGACAACUAACACAGACGCCUGAGGCAAGGUCCCAUUCCGUAAAUGAGGCAAGAGAGCACUGAGGAGACGGAGAGAAGGUUCCGUGCCUGGGGCCUCCUGGCCGGGAAAGCAGGGGAAUUAAAGUGGCCUCAAGCAUUGCUGCUAGACGUGAUCUCUUAGAAAGACAUCUCCAGGGGCUGGCUUGGUGGUGCAGCAGCAAAAGGGGCCAAGUGGAGAAGCUUUCUGAAACAGUCCCCAGUUUAAUGACCUACUGAACUGGACACUUCCUAGUCUCCAAAUAUCCUCUCUUCAUUCUGAGAACAUCAUGAAGCCCCAGUGCCCUCUGGAUAUGAACUCUGGCUAGGGUGCCCUAACCUAACCUUCUCUGUGUAGUUGGUGAACUCCUAUUCACCCUUCAAGACCCAGCUGAAGCAGACCCUCCUCUGUGAAUUCUGGAUUCUCCCUCUCCAUGGAGUUGGACCCAUUCUUUGU
rnacentral:lncRNA from 1 species